rfam:Ailuropoda melanoleuca scaffold302_186, whole genome shotgun sequence.
GCCUGGCUGGCUCAGUCGGUAGAGCAUGUGACUCUUGAUCUCAGGGUCGUGAGUUCACGCCCCAUGUUGGGCA